UACGUAUGGUGCAAGCGUUAUCCGGAUUUACUGGGUGUAAAGGGAGCGCAGGCGGCGCGUUAAGCCCGGUGUGAAAGCCCGCGGCCCAACCGCGGGACUGCAUUGGGAACUGGCGCGCUGGAGUGCCGGAGGGGUAGGCGGAAUUCCUAGUGUAGCGGUGAAAUGCGUAGAUAUUAGGAGGAACACCAGUGGCGAAGGCGGCCUACUGGACGGUGACUGACGCUGAGGCUCGAAAGCGUGGGGAGCAAACAGG
rnacentral:rRNA from 1 species